CACAACUCCCGAUCCCCGCCCAGGACCCUACCAUUGCAGACUUUGCCCAGUCGUCUCUGAGCCGGUAUACCGACCCUGAGAGGAGAGGCAGAACCCGGAACUACAGUUAUUUAUUUUAGCUGGAUAUAAUUACCUGUCUCCCACAACGUGCAGACAGAUGGUUCGUGACCUGUUCUUAACGGUUGGCCAGAAUGAGCCCUGAAAGGAGUAUUGUAAGCAGAGACCACUGAUCAAGUACAGACAAUGCCCUUGAGAACGCAAGAUGGCCAGAGAGCCUCGUGGAAAGGCUGUUUUCUAUUUAUAGCACCGCUUCAAACUGGGUGUUGGGGGUUAUUGACUUACUCUACCUUUCAAAUAUGGAAGCAGAAUUUUCCAUCCUCCCCACACCUCCGUAUUUUAGAAUCACUAGCUGAGCCUUGCGUAAAAGAUGACCGUGUGGGGGUUGGGGAUUUAGCUCAGUGAGAGCGCUUGCCUAGGAAGCGCAAGGCCCUGGGUUCGGUCCCCAGCUCCGGAAAAAAAAAGAACCAAAAAAAAAAAAAAAAAAAAAAAAAGAUGACCGUGUGAUCGUGUGAUCGGCAGUGGUGUUCUCUGAAGCUGAGUAGCUCAAGAUUGGACACGCCUCCUUUCCAUUGCCCAAGCUGACAUACUCGCCUGCCAUGAUUAGAUGUGACUUGUCUCCCAAGGACAUUUGGUUCCUGGCUGUUCUGUCCUCAGAAUAAAUUAAGGUAAUUGUCCUGGGACCCUCUCUGUUCCUGUGAGUUGUUAGAAAAGAAGGCACGGGCUGGGGAUUUAGCUCAGUGGUAGAGCGCUUACCUAGGAAGCGCAAGGCCCUGGGUUCGGUCCCCAGCUCCGGAAAAAAAGAACCAAAAAAAAAAAAAAAAAAAAAAAAAAAAAAGAAAAGAAAAGAAAAGAA